GGUGCACUGCGUAGGAUUUGGGGCGGUGGAAAGGCAUACCUUCUGCUGCCGGCCGGCUGGGUGGAACUGGAGAAACACCGAACAGCCUGAAAGGCCCCCAGUCCGAGGCUAGACGGAGUCAUGUGGUGGAAGAAGUGCCCCCUGUCCGUGAGCAAGCAUGUCACCUGUUGGCCAUUGCGGGGUCGUUGGCUCCGCCCUGCACAGGAAGCGGCACAAUUAUCUAAUGAUAAUUGAGAGCCGCCCUGCAGAUUGCCUCCUACAGAACGCGUCCUGUGAACCUACAUCUGAAGGGGCUGGGACGCGGAGCCCAAUACGCUGCAGAUUCCUGAGAACUACAUUUGCUCCUCAUGCCACAAGCCUACCCUGUAUCAACAGCUGUCCUGUUAUUCAGAAGUCUGCGGAUACUUUCGCACAUGCUGUUUCAAAUACCAUGAAUUAGCUGACCCGCCUCUAAUGGAGGAAGGGAGAGGGAAAUAGAGAAACAUCAAUGACGAGAGAGAAUCAUGGAUCGGUUGACACCUGUGCACCUCUGAUCGAGCCUGCAACCCAGACAUGUGCCCUGACUGGAAAUCGAACCAUGACCUCCUGGUUCAUAUUUUGAUGCUCAACCACAAUGAUGAAUUACCUGUCAUUGUGAAUGAAGAUAAGGUGCUGGCAGAAGUAGUAUCUGCUACUGUGAGGUGGGAAGGCAGCAAGGUUGAGCUACAGGUGAGGCCUGCAUUACAAACAGAAGGUUCGGUGGGCAAUUUUCUCACUUCUCCAGACAUCUAUGAUGGUCCCAGGGACAGGCUUUGAGAAGUCACUAUGGCUCUAGGUCCUUAUUAACUGGUAACUCCUCAAAGAGCUGUCUGCAUUUUCAGAAAGAUAUACUGUAUUAGAAAGCGUGGUUUUCAUGGGUGAACUUCCAGAAAACAAAUGUAUAUGACUGUUUUUGUGUGUGUGAGUGUAACAUUUGCUUAUUUGUGAACAAAUGUUUGAAUUUGUUUGUAUAAAGUUUCUUUUUGUAUGUGACAGCAUAUGUCCAGAGAAUGUAAAAUUCAGGAAUAAAGUAUUACUUACCCAUGUAUAAUACACUAUAUAAAAAUUAAGUUGUAUAGUAUAUAUCUGAAACAUUCUUGAAGGAAAAAAAAGAAGGUAGCCAUUUGUCAAAAUUUCACAGUGCGUCUCUCUUUGUGAAGCCUUAGUAAAGUU